CACAAUUCCUGAACUUCAUUGGUGCCCAUGACUGUUGCCAUUGUUGACUUGCAGCCUUGACCCAGUGUGGCUGUAUUUCACUGUUUCCCCUCUGAGGAUGAGAUUCUGUCCUGUUCAUUUCACAAGUCUCCUAGCCCCUUGGCACUUAGUGAAUUUCAUCGGUGUAACGAACAUUUCUUGAGCGAUGUGCCCAACAGCGCUCCACAUUUGGAUACAAAACCUUAAGUGAUGGAUCUCCAGCCUCAGGGAGUUUAGAGUUGUUGAAAGAAUCUGAGCCACCAUCCUGAAAAAUAAAACACUUUCGGGCCCUUUAUCAAAUUACUCAA